UGUGGGAGCUGGCUUGCCAGCGAUGGCGGCUUGGCAUUCGGCGGAUAUGUUGACUGACCCACCGCUAUCGCUGGCAAGCCAGCUCCCACA
rnacentral:misc_RNA from 1 species